rnacentral:rRNA from 1 species
CCUACGGGCGGCAGCAGUGAGGAAUAUUGGUCAAUGGACGAGAGUCUGAACCAGCCAAGUAGCGUGAAGGAUGACUGCCCUAUGGGUUGUAAACUUCUUUUAUACGGGAAUAAAGUGAGGCACGUGUGCCUUUUUGUAUGUACCGUAUGAAUAAGGAUCGGCUAACUCCGUGCCAGCAGCCGCGGUAAUACGGAGGAUCCGAGCGUUAUCCGGAUUUAUUGGGUUUAAAGGGAGCGUAGGCGGAUUGUUAAGUCAGUUGUGAAAGUUUGCGGCUCAACCGUAAAAUUGCAGUUGAUACUGGCAGUCUUGAGUGCAGUAGAGGUGGGCGGAAUUCGUGGUGUAGCGGUGAAAUGCUUAGAUAUCACGAAGAACUCCGAUUGCGAAGGCAGCUCACUAGACUGUCACUGACACUGAUGCUCGAAAG